UACGUAGGAGGCAAGCGUUGUCCGGAAUUACUGGGCGUAAAGCGCGUGUAGGUGGUGGGACAAGUCUGCUGUGAAAGCGCCUGGCUUAACCGGGCGAGGUCGGCGGAAACUGUCCGACUAGAGGACGGUAGAGGGGGGUGGAAUUCCCGGUGUAGUGGUGAAAUGCGUAGAGAUCGGGAGGAACACCUGUGGCGAAGGCGGCCCCCUGGGCCGAUACUGACGCUGAGGAGCGAAAGCGUGGGGAGCGAACAGG
rnacentral:rRNA from 1 species